AGAGAGAGAGAGAGAGAGAGAGAAAAUCUUCCCACAGCAAAGGCAACUACACUUCCGAUGAAUGUAGAAAUGGAUGCAGAUGCAGUACCGGAGGAUCCGGUUCGGGCAGAGUAGGGUUGGCUCAAAAAUCUAUAAGACCGACCCGUGUAUC